GGGGAAUUUUGGACAAUGGGCGCAAGCCUGAUCCAGCCAUGCCGCGUGUCUGAAGAAGGCCUUCGGGUUGUAAAGGACUUUUGUCAGGGAAGAAAAGGCUGUUGCUAAUAUCGACAGCUGAUGACGGUACCUGAAGAAUAAGCACUGGCUAACUACGUGCCAGCAGCCUCGGUAAUACGUAGGGUGCGAGCGUUAAUCGGAAUUACUGGGCGUAAAGCGGGCGCAGACGGUUACUUAAGCAGGAUGUGAAAUCCCCGGGCUCAACCUGGGAACUGCGUUCUGAACUGGGUGACUAGAGUGUGUCAGAGGGAGGUAGAAUUCCACGUGUAGCAGUGAAAUGCGUAGAGAUGUGGAGGAAUACCGAUGGCGAAGGCAGCCUCCUGGGAUAACACUGACGUUCAUGCCCGAAAGCGUGGGUAGCAAACAGGAUUAGAUACCCUGGUAGUCCACGCCCUAAACGAUGUCGAUUAGCUGUUGGGCAGCAUGACUGCUUAGUAGCGAAGCUAACGCGUGAAAUCGACCGCCUGGGGAGUACGGUCGCAAAAUUA
rnacentral:rRNA from 1 species